rnacentral:rRNA from 1 species
GACCUCGGAUCAGGUAGGGAUACCCGCUGAACUUAAGCAUAUCAAUAAGCGGAGGAAAAGAAACCAACAGGGAUUACCUCAGUAACGGCGAGUGAAGCGGUAACAGCUCAAAUUUGAAAUCUGGGUCUUUCAGGCUCCGAGUUGUAAUUUGUAGAAGAUGCUUCGGGUGUGGCUCCGGUCUAAGUUCCUUGGAACAGGACGUCAUAGAGGGUGAGAAUCCCGUAUGUGACUGGUUGCCUUCGCCCAUGUGAAGCUCUUUCGACGAGUCGAGUUGUUUGGGAAUGCAGCUCAAAAUGGGUGGUAAAUUUCAUCUAAAGCUAAAUAUUGGCCAGAGACCGAUAGCGCACAAGUAGAGUGAUCGAAAGAUGAAAAGCACUUUGGAAAGAGAGUUAAACAGUACGUGAAAUUGUUGAAAGGGAAGCGC